GUACCACUUGUUGUAGUAGAAAGAAAGAAGAAAUAGGAUAGACACAAUCAAAUACAUAGAUUAGACCAAGAUCUAACUCAUAGGGCAUGCAAACUUCACUAUGAGAGAAAAUAACAAGUACAAGAGGAGAUCUCACACUCUCAACUCUCAUAUACAAAUCUCUCUCAGUAAGAAGCACUCAUCCUCACAAAAACUCUCACAAAAUCCCAAGGAGACCCUCUCACAUGCCUGCCAUAACAAGGUUCUUGACACUUCUGAUUGCUUUCUGUGAUCUAAGCCACUACAUCAUGCCUCAGCCUCUAUCCCUACUCUCAUGGCUACUCCCACGACUGUUAAAAGACACUCACGACUGGUGUUAAUGCCCCACCAUAGCUGCUUAUGCCAAGCUACUCCUGGUUGGUCUGCCUGCUGCUUAUACCAAGCCACUUCUCAGCCUCUACCACAACUGCUCAGGUCAAGCUGCUCCCGACUGCUUUGCUUGCUGCUUAUGCCAAGCCGCUCCUUAGCCUCUGCCGCAGCUACUAAUGCCAAGCUACUCUUGUUUGCUCCGCAACCAUCAGCCCUUUUUAUAGGGCCCAAACCCUCUCCAAAUCGAAAACUUACCUUUAGGACUCAAAUUACCUUCUUGCCCAUUGGAUCUUGACCGCUCACGUCCAUGGCUUCACAAUCAUGCAAAACACUACCCGAGUCUC
rnacentral:lncRNA from 1 species